rnacentral:rRNA from 1 species
AUGUCAUGGUCUUCGGGUCGUUCGACCGCUCCCGGCUUCCGUCGAGCCACCGGAAGGAGAGGGGAUGAAUUGAGGUCACCGGUGCCGUACCGGGAGAAGCCGAUGGCGUACGAGCCAAAGAAGCUCUGCUGGUGCAACCCGUGUCGGAAGGCGCCAAGAUGGAUCUCGUGGAGCCGUCGGAACCUAGGCAGGAGGUACUACGCCUACGUGGACGCCAUGGUGAGCUUCAUUUGGGGUUAUUUUUUUGUUCAUUUGUUCUUCUCUCCUCUUAAUGAUUUUUGUUGCUACAAUUGA